CCUCCAUUAUCACUUGUAAUUUUUCUGAUAUCUUGCAGUUUAGCGAAACCAAAUCUUUUCACGAUGCUCACUCACGCUUCCAGUAGACUAGAACGCUGAGUUGCUGAGCGCUGAGACAGUGGUUGUGGCAGAACAGGUUCAACAUUCAACUUCGAUCACGAAGUGUCGUUUAAUUAAACUGCUACAUGAAAUCUAAAAGGUAGACUUUGGACGUCAUUAUUAGACAUCGGAUGUUUCUGAAAAUUUACAUCUCUGUAGCCGGAUACAAGUAAACAGUAAUUUAUAUAUUUUGUUCUUGUUUCAUAGCUCUAGAAGGGGGAAAGGCGUACAAAACUACUUUUGAGUACACUAUUUAUUUUAUUCUAAGUUUCUGUAAAUAUAAUUUACUCAAUAUGUGUUCAAUAACUUGUUUUAUUCGACGACUUAUAUUUAAGGAAAUUUCUGUUUAAGGAUAUGUGGUAACGUAAUAAUAUCUUUUUUCUGAUA